CUUCCGCCGGCGACCGGCGCACGGGUGAGUAACACGUAUGCAACCUGCCCGUAGCAGGGGGAUAAGCGGAAGAAAUUCCGUCUAAUACCGCGUAACAACCCGAGGAGGCAUCUCCUCGGGUUUAAAGGAAGCGAUUCCGGCUACGGAUGGUCAUGCGUCGCAUUAGCUAGUUGGCGGGGUAACGGCCCACCAAGGCGACGAUGCGUAGGGGUUCUGAGAGGAAGGUCCCCCACACUGGUACUGAGACACGGACCAGACUCCUACGGGAGGCAGCAG
rnacentral:rRNA from 1 species